GACGAACGCUGGCGGCGCGCCUAACACAUGCAAGUCGAGCGGGAAACUUUUUAAGGAUUCUUCGGAUGAAUUAAAAAGUGGAGAGCGGCGGACGGGUGAGUAACGCGUGAGAAACCUGCCCUAUACAGGGGGAUAGCCAUUGGAAACGAUGAUUAAUACCCCAUAUGACCACAGUAUCGCAUGAUACAGCGGUGAAAACUCCGGUGGUAUAGGAUGGUCUCGCGUCUGAUUAGCUAGUUGGUGGGGUAACGGCCUACCAAGGCGACGAUCAGUAGCCGGCCUGAGAGGGUGACCGGCCACACUGGAACUGAGACACGGCCCAGACACCUACGGGAGGCAGCAGUCGAGAAUCUUAGACAAUGGGGGCAACCCUGAUCUAGCCAUGCCGCGUGAGUGACGAAGGCCCUAG
rnacentral:rRNA from 1 species